rnacentral:rRNA from 1 species
GACGAACGCUGGCGGCGUGCCUAAUACAUGCAAGUAGAACGCUGAAGGAGGAGCUUGCUUCUCUGGAUGAGUUGCGAACGGGUGAGUAACGCGUAGGUAACCUGCCUGGUAGCGGGGGAUAACUAUUGGAAACGAUAGCUAAUACCGCAUAACAGUAGAUAUCGCAUGAUAUCUACUUGAAAGGUGCAAUUGCAUCACUACCAGAUGGACCUGUGUUGUAUUAGCUAGUUGGUGAGGUAACGGCUCACCAAGGCGACGAUACAUAGCCGACCUGAGAGGGUGAUCGGCCACACUGGGACUGAGACACGGCCCAGACUCCUACGGGAGGCAGCAGUAGGGAAUCUUCGGCAAUGGACGGAAGUCUGACCGAGCAACGCCGCGUGAGUGAAGAAGGGUUUCGGAUCGUAAAGCUCUGUUGUAAGAGAAGAACGAGUGUGAGAGUGGAAAGUUCACACUGUGACGGUAUCUUACCAGAAAGGGACGGCUAACUACGUG